UUAAUCUAGGCGUGAUGGGCUUAGAUGUUUAUGUGGGAAUGGGCUUAAGACUUGGUAUCCUCUAACCCUAAUUCAUCCGCAAAGGCUCUCCUCUUCCUGCGACGAAAACGCGAUGCCUUUUGUGAUUCUUCUCACCAUUUUGAACGGUCUGCGUAAAGGCUUCGUGAUUAAUAACAUUGAUUCGCUCUCCCACUACGUCGUCAUCAAUGCUUUUUUUAUAUCUAAUAGGCGGUGAUCUCUGUAUAAAUAUGUGUGAGUAGUCCUCUCCUUGAUCUCAUCUUAUCUUCGUAAUGCUUAUAUCUCAUUCUGAUUACAGUGAGCUCCGGUGGAUUGAAAUGGUAGGUGGAUUGCUUAGUUAGCUUCUUGAGUAGUGAAGAUUGAGCGGCGAGGAAAGCAGCAGCCGAAGCCUUAGGGAGGUUAUCCACGGCGGAAAGAAAUGAUUUUGGAGAAAGUCUUUGAAGAUCUUCAAAAGCAAGAUAUACGACAAGGUGAAAGCUGUGAGAGAAGUGAUGAACCAGAUGAUGGAGGCAUGGAAACAAGUCUGAGAUUUAUCAGAAGAGGUUUCUCAGCCAAGAUCUAAUGUUUCUUCUAAAGGUAUCUUUCCUCCGUUAGAUCUUUAGCCAAAAUUAGGAAACUAUUUGUUUAGUGCCUACUAUUCUUGGUUAAUUUCCUUUGUGUCUAUGAGAAGAACUGAUCACUGUAUAAACAACCAUCGAUUAAUCUGCCCCUUAAUUUUGUCUUCAGAACUGAAAAAUAAGGGUUUUUGUUCAGCACUGGAUAUGAAAGGUCUUUAAAAGCAUUAAGUGUUUAAGGCAGGGGAAGAAGAUUUUGGACGAGAGAUGGAUCAGUUUGAAGCAUAACGCCAAGCUGAGUUUGAGCUUCUUCAGAUUGGUCAAGAACAAGAGGGUAUCUAUUCCAAGCUCAUGGUAAAUCCUUUACAUUAAAGUCCUUUAGAUUAGCGAUUAAAGAUUUUUAUUCUUUGUUUUAACUCAAACGCAUUCGCUCCCACAUAAUAUUUAUCUCCACUGUCUUCUCUAAUGGAACUGUUUUUGUGAAACGGUUUACAUGAGGUUGCAGAGAAGAGGGCCUUCGCUAUUUGGUUUACUAAGCUUACCAAGUUUGUCUCAGCAGGGUCCGUGAAUACAACACUGACUGAGUUGUUUAGGUUCAGUAGUUGAAGAACUCUGGCAAGUGGCAACUACAAAAUAAAUUCUUUUUUUUUCAUUAUUGAUCUGUAACAGACGAAAGAAACUCGCCAUUAGAGUAACAAAGAAAAGUGUACUUAUGUUAAAAAUUCUAUGUUACGGCUUUAAAUAUGUUUUGUUUAUGUCAUAAUGAAACUUGUGGUUAGUAGGUU